ensembl:lncRNA
CCGGCGGGUGGCUCCACUGGGCAGGGUUCAAAUCCCAGGGGCACGCUCGCCUCAGGUCGUCUGACUGGCUGCGAGGGUCCGGCCCUGCGAACACAGGCCUCCUCUGUGGGCUGCGAUGGCCGCUUCUCCCGCCUCCGUCCGCUACGUAAGCUCUGGCCCCUGCGUCUUUAGCCCGAGGGGCCGGGGCGUCUCUCCCGCAGCCUGGAGACGGGUGGUCCGUCCGCCGGGCUGGUGCCGGUCGGAAUCCCGGCCCGCCGCGAUGGCCGUACGCCGGCUGCUCGCGGUGCACGCAGUGCUGGCAGGAGCAGGGGCCCGCGGUGUUGAGGUGCUGAAUGAACCGGUGGUGUCCCGCCGCCUGCGAGCCGUCUGUGUACAUGUCCAAAGACGUCCAGAGAUCCGGCCGCCCUGCGAGGUUCCACCGGGAAGGGGUUCUCGUCUCUCGUGGAAGAGUCCCCAGCGCCGGUUCUGAGCUCAUUAGACCAACUAAAGCCUUUUGCUCUCUGCAAUUAAACGCUGCCUGGGAUUCCUCAGCCGGGAGACUGGCGGAGGAGCCUCCCCAUCUUUGUCCUUGGCGCGCUCGUCAUUCUCACUCUAUCGUUGUCACGGUGAAAGUG